CCUUGGCUAGCUCAGUCGGUAGAGCAUGAGAUUCUUCAUCUCAGGGUCGUGGGUUUGAGCCCCUCGUUGGGCA
rnacentral:tRNA from 1 species